rnacentral:rRNA from 1 species
AGCCAUGCGAGUCUAAGUAGCAAUACAAGGCAGACGGCUCAGUAACGCGUAGUCAACCUACCCUAUGGACGGGAAUAACCUCGGGAAACUGAGAAUAAUGCCCGAUAGAACAUUAUGCCUGGAAUGGUUUAUGUUCCAAAUGAUUUAUCGCCGUAGGAUGGGACUGCGGCCUAUCAGUUUGUUGGUGAGGUAAUGGCCCACCAAGACUAUUACAGGUACGGGCUCUGAGAGGAGUAGCCCGGAGAUGGGUACUGAGACACGGACCCAGGCCCUAUGGGGCGCAGCAGGCGAGAAAACUUUGCAAUGUGCGAAAGCACGACAAGGUUAAUCCGAGUGGUUUCUGCUAAAGGAACCUUUUGUCGGUCCUAAAAACACCGAUGAAUAAGGGGUGGGCAAGUUCUGGUGUCAGCCGCCGCGGUAAAACCAGCACCUCAAGUUGUCAGGAUGAUUAUUGGGCCUAAAGCAUCCGUAGCCGGCUCUGUUAGUUUUCGGUUAAAUCUGUAUGCUCAACGUACAGGCUGCCGGGAAUACUGCAGAGCUAGGGAGUGGGAGAGGUAGACGGUACUCUCGUAGGAAGGGGUAAAAUCCUUUGAUCUAUUGAUGACCACCUGGGGCGAAAGCGGUCUACCAGAACACGUCCGACGGUGAAGGAUGAAAGCUGGGGGGAGCAAACCGGAUUAGAUACCCGGGUAGUCCCAGCUGUAAACUAUGCAAACUCAGUGAUGCAUUGGCUUUGUGGCCCAUGCAGUGCUGCAAGGAAGCCCGUUAAGUUUGCCCCCUGGGAAGUACGUACGCCAGUAUGAAACUUAAAAGGAAUUGGCGGGG